rnacentral:rRNA from 1 species
AGAGUUUGAUCCUGGCUCAGGAUGAACGCUGGCGGCGUGCUUAACACAUGCAAGUCGAACGAACCUUCGGGUUAGUGGCGGACGGGUGAGUAACGCGUGAGAAUCUGCCCUCAGGAGGGGGAUAACGGUUGGAAACGACCGCUAAUACCCCAUAUGCCUAUUGGUGAAAUGAAUUUCGCCUGAGGAUGAGCUCGCGUCUGAUUAGCUAGUUGGUGAGGUAAUUGCUCACCAAGGCUUCGAUCAGUAGCUGGUCUGAGAGGAUGAUCAGCCACACUGGGACUGAGACACGGCCCAGACUCCUACGGGAGGCAGCAGUGGGGAAUUUUCCGCAAUGGGCGAAAGCCUGACGGAGCAACGCCGCGUGAGGGACGAAGGCCUCUGGGCUGUAAACCUCUUUUCUCAAGGAAGAAGAUAUGACGGUACUUGAGGAAUAAGCCACGGCUAAUUCCGUGCCAGCCGCCGCGGU